rnacentral:rRNA from 2 species
GGAGGCUUUGAAGCGUGGACGCCAGUCUGCGUGGAGCCGACCUUGAAAUACCACCCUUUAAUGUUUGAUGUUCUAACGUGGAUCCGUAAUCCGGGUUGCGGACAGUGUCUGGUGGGUAGUUUGACUGGGGCGGUCUCCUCCUAAAGAGUAACGGAGGAGCACGAAGGUUGGCUAAUCCUGGUCGGACAUCAGGAGGUUAGUGCAAUGGCAUAAGCCAGCUUGACUGCGAGCGUGACGGCGCGAGCAGGUGCGAAAGCAGGUCAUAGUGAUCCGGUGGUUCUGAAUGGAAGGGCCAUCGCUCAACGGAUAAAAGGUACUCCGGGGAUAACAGGCUGAUACCGCCCAAGAGUUCAUAUCGACGGCGGUGUUUGGCACCUCGAUGUCGGCUCAUCACAUCCUGGGGCUGAAGUAGGUCCCAAGGGUAUGGCUGUUCGCCAUUUAAAGUGGUACGCGAGCUGGGUUUAGAACGUCGUGAGACAGUUCGGUCCCUAUCUGCCGUGGGCGCUGGAGAACUGAGGGGGGCUGCUCCUAGUACGAGAGGACCGGAGUGGACGCAUCACUGGUGUUCGGGUUGUCAUGCCAAUGGCACUGCCCGGUAGCUAAAUGCGGAAGAGAUAAGUGCUGAAAGCAUCUAAGCACGAAACUUGCCCCGA